GACGAACGCUGUCGGCGUGCUUAACACAUGCAAGUCGAACGGAAAGGCCCUGCUUUUGUGGGGUGCUCGAGUGGCGAACGGGUGAGUAACACGUGAGUAACCUGCCCUUGACUUUGGGAUAACUUCAGGAAACUGGGGCUAAUACCGGAUAGGAGCUCCUGCUGCAUGGUGGGGGUUGGAAAGUUUCGGCGGUUGGGGAUGGACUCGCGGCUUAUCAGCUUGUUGGUGGGGUAGUGGCUUACCGAGGCUUUGACGGGUAGCCGGCCUGAGAGGGUGACCGGCCACAUUGGGACUGAGAUACGGCCCAGACUCCUACGGGAGGCAGCAGUGGGGAAUAUUGCACAAUGGGCGGAAGCCUGAUGCAGCAACGCCGCGUGCGGGAUGACGGCCUUCGGGUUGUAAACCGCUUUCGCCUGUGACGAAGCGUGAGUGACGGUAAUGGGUAAAGAAGCACCGGCUAACUACGUGCCAGCAGCCGCGGUGAUACGUAGGGUGCGAGCGUUGUCCGGAUUUAUUGGGCGUAAAGGGCUCGUAGGUGGUUGAUCGCGUCGGAAGUGUAAUCUUGGGGCUUAACCCUGAGCGUGCCUUCGAUACGGGUUGACUUGAGGAAGGUAGGGGAGAAUGGAAUUCCUGGUGGAGCGGUGGAAUGCGCAGAUAUCAGGAGGAACACCAGGGGCGAAGGGGGUUCUCUGGGCCUUUCCUGACGCUGAGGAGCGAAAGCGUGGGGAGCGAACAGGCUUAGAUACCCUGGUAGUCCACGCUGUAAACGGUGGGUACUAGGUGUGGGGUCCAUUCUACGGGUUCCGUGCCGUAGCUAACGCUUUAAGUACCCCGCCUGGGGAGUACGGCCGCAAGGCUAAAACUCAAAGGAAUUGACGGGGCCCCGCACAAGCGGCGGAGCAUGCGGAUUAAUUCGAUGCAACGCGUAGAACCUUACCUGGGUUUGACAUGGAUCGGGAGUGCUCAGAGAUGGGUGUGCCUCUUUUGGGGUCGGUUCACAGGUGGUGCAUGCCUGUCGUCAGCUCGUGUCGUGAGAUGUUGGGUUAAGUCCCGCAACGAGCGCAACCCUUGUUCACUGUUGCCAGCACGUUAUGGUGGGGACUCAGUGGAGACCGCCGGGGACAACUCGGAGGAAGGUGGGGAUGACGUCAAGUCAUCAUGCCCCUUAUGUCCAGGGCUUCACGCAUGCUACAAUGGCUGGUACAGAGAGUGGCGAGCCUGUGAGGGUGAGCGAAUCUCGGAAAGCCGGUCUCAGUUCGGAUUGGGGUCUGCAACUCGACCUCAUGAAGUCGGAGUCGCUAGUAAUCGCAGAUCAGCAACGCUGCGGUGAAUACGUUCCCGGG
rnacentral:rRNA from 1 species